AAUUUUACUAAAAAUAUUAAUUAAAAUUCAUGAUUCACAAGAAAAAUUAUAUAAAUAAAUCAAAAUGAUUUAGGAUGUGUCAAUUUUUCCAGCAGCUAUAACGUUUUCCCACCAGGAAGCAGACUUUUUCAAUAUACGUGUUCUGUUGGAAUCAUUAUAGUCGACAUAUACAAUACCAAAACGUUCCCUAAAAUUUAAAAUAUAUAUUUUAUGAUAUAAGAAAUUCAAAUAAGACAUAAUUAAUAUAAAAGUUAAUGCAUAAUUAAACUUACCGAUAUCCCAUCUCCCAUUCAAAAUUGUCCAGAAGGGACCACAAGAAAUAUCCUUGUACAUUCACUUUAUCAUCAUAAAUGGCGAGAAGCAUCUGUUUUAAAUAUUCUCGAUAAUAAUAGAUUCUGUCGUCAUCGUUGAGUGUUCCAAAAUCGGAGACACCAUUUUCAGUGAUAUACAUUGGAGGAUUUCCAUAAUGUGUUGCCAAAUAUUUCAGACUAAUCCGGAAACCUUCAGGUACAACCUGGAACCAAUGAUUAUUGUAACACGUUUGAUUAAUAUAGAGGCUCGAUAUCAUAUGUGAAUCUCUAUUAUGUGAACGAUUCAAAUUUCAAAUAUAAAAUUUAUAAGAAUUUAUGAAGUAAAUGCAUACUUUUAACCAAUUUGAUGCUGAUGACUUCCAAAAACUAUCCGUGAACAUUUUCACUCCUUGAUCAUUUCUUUGAGAUGGCAACUCUCCCAUAGAACCAAAUGUAAACGAGAUUUCAUGAAACCUUGCUCCAAGCUUUUGUUACCCACCAUGAUCUUCAUCAAUUCUGGGUAAUCACCUUCCUUCGAGUAAAUUGGAUGCAAACACCAUCCGACAUUGAAUUGGAAAGCAACUUCCAUAGCAUACGCAUCUGUCAAAUUCCUAGGCUCUUGCAUGCGCCUUGAUUACAUUAUGUAUACACAAGUAUUCGCCGAUACCGUGCAAUUUUUUGCCAGGCGCGUGUUUGCCGGACGAAUAACCAUUCAGACAAAUGGACUUUGGCUCGUUUAUCGUAAUGAAUCGUUUCACUUUCGAACCGAAUUCAUAAAACACAACUCUGGCAUAAUCACCGAACCAAUCGACCAUAUUUGAGUUCAACCAACCACCUGCAUCUUCCAAAUUUUGCGGAUGAUCCCAGUGAUAAAGCGUUACCAUAGGCUCGAUAUUGUUUGCCAACAAUUCAUCGAUGAGAUUAUGAUAAUAUCGAACACCAUCUUUACUGAUCUUGUUCACGAAGCCAGUUGGUAGAAUUCGUGGCCAGCUAAUGGAGAAACGAUACGAUUUAAACUGUAAGAUUUUCAAUGAUCAAAAUAAUUUUUUUAAAAUUGAAUCAUGCAAUUCUUAAUAUCAUUAAUGAUAUUGUAUAUACGAAAAUAGUGCAAUUCUUAUAAAUUUAAUUCUUCUAUUUGAACUAUUCAAUUAUGUGGGUUUAUAUUGGAAAUUAUAACAUAAGAACUAAGAGGUAACUAAGAGGUAAAAAUAUUUAAAUCACGCAAUCUCUCGAUAUAUUUCAGGAUAUACUUCGUUAUGUAUGUCUGUCUGUUCUAAUAUGUUAAGCAGGUAAGGAAUGACAUUUUGACACAUGUAAUUCUGUCAAUUCUUAAAUUAUUUAAAGCGAAUUCUCGUGUAUUUGUAGAGAUAAAAAUCAUUUCUCUAUGUAAUAUUAGAAUACGUAAAUAAUAAUAUGUUAAAA
rnacentral:lncRNA from 1 species